AAAAAUCCGCCGGGCUUAGAUGAGGGGUGAUAACGAGGAGGCUUGCCUCCGAAGUGAGUGAUACCCUGCUUCCAGGAAAAGCCACUAAGCUUCAGCUGCACACGACCGUACCGCAAACCGACACUGGUGCGCGAGAUGAGUAUUCUGAGGCGCUUGAGAGAACUCAGGAGAAGGAACUCGGCAAAUUGACACCGUAACUUCGGAAGAAGGUGUGCCUUUAGUAGGUGAAGGGAUUUACUCCUGGAGCCCAAUGAGGUUGCAAAAAAUCGGUGGCUGCGACUGUUUAUUAAAAACACAGCACUCUGCAAACACGAAUGUGGACGUAUAGGGUGUGACGCCUGCCCGGUGCUGGAAGAUUAAAUGAUGGGGUGCAAGCUCUUGAUUGAAGUCCCAGUAAACGGCGGCCGUAACAAUAACGGUCCUAAGGUAGCGAAAUUCCUUGUCGGGUAAGUUCCGACCUGCACGAAUGGCGUAACGAUGGCCACACUGUCUCCUCCUGAGACUCAGCGAAGUUGAAAUGUUUGUGAUGAUGCAAUCCCCCCGCGGAAAGACGGAAAGACCCCAUGAACCUUUACUGUAGCUUUGUAUUGGACUUUGAACAGAUCUGUGUAGGAUAGGUGGGAGGCUUUGAAGCAGGGUCGCUAGAUCUUGUGGAGCCAACGUUGAAAUACCACCCUGGUGUGUUUGAGGUUCUAACCUAGGUCCAUUAUCUGGAUCGGGGACAGUGCAUGGUAGGCAGUUUGACUGGGGCGGUCUCCUCCCAAAGCGUAACGGAGGAGUUCGAAGGUACGCUAGGUACGGUCGGACAUCGUGCUAAUAGUGCAAUGGCAUAAGCGUGCUUAACUGCGAGACUGACAAGUCGAGCAGAUGCGAAAGCAGGACAUAGUGAUCCGGUGGUUCUGUAUGGAAGGGCCAUCGCUCAACGGAUAAAAGGUACUCUGGGGAUAACAGGCUGAUACCGCCCAAGAGUUCAUAUCGACGGCGGUGUUUGGCACCUCGAUGUCGGCUCAUCUCAUCCUGGGGCUGUAGCCGGUCCCAAGGGUAUGGCUGUUCGCCAUUUAAAGAGGUACGUGAGCUGGGUUUAAAACGUCGUGAGACAGUUUGGUCCCUAUCUUCCGUGGGCGCUGCAGAUUUGAGGAAGCCUGCUCCUAGUACGAGAGGACCGGAGUGGACGCACCUCUGGUGUAUCGGUUGUCACGCCAGUGGCAUUGCCGAGUAGCUAUGUGCGGAAGAGAUAACCGCUGAAAGCAUCUAAGCGGGAAACUCGUUUCAAGAUGAGAUCUGCCGGGGCCUUGAGCCCCCUGAAGAGUCGUUCAAGACCAGGACGUUGAUAGGUCAGGUGUGGAAGCGCAGUAAUGCGUUAAGCUAACUGAUACUAAUUGCUCGUGCGGCUUGACCCC
rnacentral:rRNA from 1 species